rfam:Brassica napus, WGS project CCCW01000000 data, contig: 9237
GGAAUAUAAAAAACCGUCUCUUAACUUUUAACUAAAAAAUCUCAGAACUGGCUUUUAAAUAAGAUAUUUAAGAACCGGUUCUUAGCUUUUUUAGUUAAAAAUUAAGAGACAGUUUCUUAUAUUCC